GUGGAUCCUAGCAAAGUGCACGUGUGUGACAAUAUUCUUGUGAAUAACCUGACUGCGCACGUACCUCGUCACUUGAGGCUGCGCUGGUGAUCAAGCAGGUACGUGGCUUGACGUGUUCGGCUACAGUGUGAGAAGAAUGGCCAGAACAGCAGGUAUCAUUCUCAAUUACCACACCUUUGUCGGGACGCCGAGCCGCCAGAAUCCUGAUCAAAGCGAAUCUCUGGGGCGUCCGUCCAUGUCCAGGUGAGAGGCGGUGUGUCUCCUGGCUGAGGUGGCGUGGCGAGAGACUGGCCGGGUCGUGCUGGUCGUGGCCUUGAGUGAGGAGGCGGUGCUGGUGGUGGUGGCGGUGCUGGUGGUGCUGGUGGUCGUCCUCAUCACGUCAGCUGCAAAAUAUGAGGCAGUUGAGGCUUUUGUUUAGAGUGAUGGUGUAGUUAGUAGUUAUCUGUGGUGUUUGUGAGCAUCAACACUAUGAUUUGUCAAAGUUAUGGUAAAGAUAGAGGUGGUGUUUUGUCAGCUCAGGAAGGUAUUGCUUAUGAUAAAGGUGUGUCAUGAACGUUAAGGUGUUUACAAUAAAGUUCUUUGUCUCUCUUGA